AUGCAGUCGAGCAUUGAGCAGGAGGGCAAUGGCACCUACCGGAGUUGGCAUGUAACACCGGCGACCCCUGCUUCUGGUGGUUUGCAGGUGGAGCGCACUGUUGCUGGGGCGCUCGUGGAUCACCGGCGGCUGCGCCAGGCAAUAUGCAGUGUUGUUGGUGAGGCGUGGCACCCAUGCCACCAGCUAAGCAUACCGCGACCCAUCUUGGCGGGUGCUAUGUCCAUCUCAAUGGCUAUUGGUGCAGUACUCCAUUGCAGCAACCCCAUCCAUGCCACUAAUUCAUCAUCCAAGCCUCCAAGGCAUCAUAACACCAAUCACAUAAUCCCUCCGUUUGCUCUAAAAACUUAA
rnacentral:rRNA from 1 species